GGCGAGUGAAGCGGCAAAAGCAUCAAAUUUGAAAUCUGGCUCCUUUAGGGGUCCGAGUUGUAAUUUGCAGAGGAUGCUUCGGGAGCGGCCACGGCUUAAGUGCCUUGGAACAGGACGUCAUAGAGGGUGAGAAUCCCGUCUUGAGUCGUUGGUCCGCGCCCAUGUGAAGCUCCUUCGACGAGUCGAGUUGUUUGGGAAUGCAGCUCUAAGCGGGUGGUAAAUUUCAUCUAAAGCUAAAUAUUGGCCGGAGACCGAUAGCGCACAAGUAGAGUGAUCGAAAGGUUAAAAGCACCUUGAAAAGGGAGUUAAACAGCACGUGAAAUUGUUGAAAGGGAAGCGCUUGCGGCCAGACUCGGGUACAGGGUUCAGCGGGUGCGUGUCACCCGUGUACUCCCUGUUUCCCGGGCCAGCAUCAGUUCUGACGGCCGGUCAAAGGCCUCUGGAAUGUGUCGUCUUUCGGGACGUCUUAUAGCCAGAGGUGCAAUGCGGCCUGUUGGGACUGAGGAACGCG
rnacentral:rRNA from 1 species